rnacentral:rRNA from 1 species
UACGAACUGUGCAAACGUUAUUCGGAAUCACUGGGCUUACAGGGUGCGUAGGCGGCUUGUUAAGUAGGGUGUGAAAGCCCCCGGCUCAACCGGGGAAUGGCGCCCUAAACUGGCGAGCUGGAGUGAGAUAGGGGUGUGCGGAACUUCCGGUGGAGCGGUGAAAUGUGUUGAUAUCGGAAGGAACGCCGGUGGCGAAAGCGGCACACUGGAUCUCAACUGACGCUGAGGCACGAAAGCCA